rnacentral:lncRNA from 1 species
GAUGAAAGAGGAUUCCAGUUAAAACAGUAUUAGCAAGACUCUGAAAUAGCCCAGCCUAGAGUGUCUAGCUGGUCUGCAUUUUCUUUUUCUUUCUUUUUUUUUUUCCACUGAAGCAAAAGUAGAAAAUUUAUGGAAAAUCAAACAUAAAAAUAACCUCAAACAAGUAACAAAGCAAAGACUAAAAGGAAAAAUACCUAAAUUAAGACAAAGCUCCAAACUAUUUCAAAAUGAUGAAAUUAUAUUGGAUAUGGUAUCUAAAAGAUGCAGGUGGGGGAUGGGGAUCUGAUGUGGGUGUGGCUGUCAGCAGAGGACUAUGAGAAAAUCUUUGCGGGAAAGCAAAGGUCCUUCAUUCCUGGAGAUGCAGGCAGCCUCUGCACUGGGCUGCAGACGAAGAUCCCCAUAAAUUAGGAAAGACUGAUAAAAUUGGCUAUGGGCCGGGUCAGCAUCAAGGGAAGGAAGUCACCCAGGAACACCCAUUCCACUCCUAGACUGGAGACUCAAGACACUUCCAGGUGACAAACGACAGGUGGGGACAACAAUUAGAUGGAAUAGUAGCCGGAGUGAGGACCUGUGGAAUGUGGCAGGUGCAGAACUCCCAUCCACUCAGAAAUCUGGACCUGAUUUGUCUGGGGCUUCAAGGUCACCUUCCUCAGGCUCUGCAGUGAGAGUCUCUUCAAGGCGGCUUCUAGUUCCUCAUCCUCUCCCCUGAGGGGCCAGGCACUCUCCUGGGCACCUCCCCGGAGGUUCCCCUGGUUCUUCUUGGGCUGGGGUAGUGGACAUCUUUGCAGGAUGGGCAUGUACAACAGAAGCUAGAACAGGAUGGGCCUGCCCAGGUUGAGUGUGCCCAGGAUGAGCGCGAGGGCCUCCCGAGGCGUCCUGCGAAUGGGUGAUAGCCUCAUUCAGAGUUCGGGUAUAUCUUCUGUUGCACCGUAAACCAAUUCUGCACCUGUUGCUCCUCUAGGCCGAGGCUGGAAGCCAGGACCACCAUGGUACCGUGGGAUGGGAAGGGGUCCUUCAGGAAGUGUGCCUCUAGCUCCUGCAUCUGCUGCUUGCUGAGGAUCAAAAUAGACCAAUCCGAGGUCUAUGGGCCCAACAUAUUGCGAAGGCUUUCGAUCUCAUCCAUGGCAGCGGAGGCUCCGUUCAGAGGAAAGGGAGGUCUGCAUUUUGAAAGAGUCCAGCAAACAAAAACCGAAGUCUGUGAAGUAACCUUGAGUUAGUAAAAACUGCAAAUCUUAUGCACAUGCAUUGGAAUUCUUGGAAAAUUCACCAGUGGUCACUGCUUGACACUGGAGAAACUUUCUUCAGAAAAUUAAUCUGAUGUACAUGUAGGAUGGUAUGACUAAGAAAGUCAAGAAAAAAACACUCAGAAAAUAAUUUAAUACAGAGUAUUACUUAGUAAGGAGUCCUGAGGGGCCAGAGAAGGUUGUGAAAAUAACAUUUUGAGAGUAGAACAGAGAACCAGUAGAAAGAGGAGACACCCAAGAGCCUAACAGGACAAGCAUCCAUGUCUGUUGUGGGUAAUGGGUACUAAGUAGGCAAGAGGUCAAGGAAGCAUGAACUAAGUCAAGGGUCUUUGAGUGUAGUUGUCAUUAAUGAUGGUUAAGUAUUUCAACAAAACAGGAAGGCAGAAAGCUUUGAGAGUAGGAGGUAAGGAUCUGAGUGGGCAACUAGAAAGGAUAGGUAAUGAAUAAGUAAAUUAUCUAACUUCACUCCUCAAAGAUCCCAUGCUAUCACCUGUAUUGAGGUAAGAGCCCAUGCUAUCCCCUGUAUUUAGGUGGGUGAUGAUAGGGCAGACACUAAUUGGUAAGAAUCAGCCUGUUUCCUUCCAAUAUUUCCCCUUGCAACAUCCAUUAAUGUAAAUUAAUGUAUUUGUGUACAUAUAUCCCCAUUAUAUAUGUGUAAUUUAUUCCUAUUACAUUUUCUAUUAUAUAUAGGACCAACUAGAAUUCAAGAUCUGAAACCACCUUCAUACUCCAUAACUCUUGAUAUAAGAACACAAAAGCUUUAUCAGCAUCUAAAGGGGAACAUACCUAUUUUCUUACACGGAUAAAGAACCCUCCUUUUCCUGUUCUUUCAAAUUCCACAGAUGGCUUUGGUGGGAAGAGGAUACAGUGACAUGAGAUAUUUGGUCAUCAAAAACAUGUUUCCUCUUCUGUUUACACACACAAGUAAUACAACAAAGUCAAAACACAAAAUCAGCCCUCCCCCUCAAAUUUCAACAUGCCCUUGUAGUGAAUCACCUAAUCAGCGUCCUUGGAAAAUUGCAGUCGUUUCCCAAGCAUAUCUUCCACAUCUGUCAGCAAACCCUUUCAGCUAUACCUUUGAAUUUGUCCAGACACCUCCACCACUACCACUCCUUGCACGCUACCUCCUGAUGGGCUUCCCACCCAUCUUGCCCCUUCACAAAUCUUUUCUCUACACAGUUAGCCUUUUGAAACCUAAGUCUUAACAUGAGUCUGCUUUGCUCAAGAGAUUCCAGUGCCUUUCUCAUAAUAAAAGCCCAAAUCCUUACAAUGCCUUCCAAGGCCCUGCAUGGUCUGCUGUCUCCUCCCUUCACCUCCUUCUGACUUAUCUCAUUACUCUCCCUCCUGCUCAGUUCACAUCAACCCAGUGGUCACAUUGCUGCUUGUUGAAAAGCCUCUGCCCUUUCAGCUCCCUCAGUUGGAAAGCUUUUCCCUGCAUUGUUAGGCAUGUCUAACCAUCUUAGUUUAAAUGCCCAGCCCGUCAGUCCUAUCCAUUCUCCUGUCCUGUUUGGUUUUUCUCCAUCAUUUCUAUCACCACUAUAAAAAUAUUCAUUGGCUUAUUACUUAAGCAGGAGUCUCUCCUGACUAAGAUUCAGGAAGGCAGAAAUUUUUGUCACUUUUGUCUUUUACUGUAUAACCAGGACUUACAACAUGUCCUGGCUCGUGGUAGUGUUAUGGACCACGCUAUACGGGCAAAGACCAAAGAGACUCCAUCUUACCCUGAGACUCCCUGUCACGUAAAAACUGCUUCUCCCAUGGGAAAGCCCCACUUCUGUACCCAUCAAUAGUUGCUUAGGAAAGCAUAUUUGGCAACACAAAAUGGCAAUUCUUAUACAAUGUAAAAUUGUUCUCUCUUUGAUUCUCAUUUUUGUUGGACAAUGUACCCUCUCCAAGACUGAUUGUCUAAAUGUGAGUAACCAUUCAACUUGUACUCAACUAGGGACAUUUUGACUCACUCCCCCUUCUGCUUAUGAUUUUAGAUCUCAUAACACUUGUUUUGAAUCAUAGCAACAGCUACUUAUGAUUACUAUGGUUUUGGACUACAAAAAGUGUACCCAAAUCCCAGGAGGGAGUCGAAAGGUAUAGACUUACAGCCUACCCCUUGGCCCACCAGCUGGUGGAUCUGAACCAAUGGCUGAUGAAUAAGGCUUUUGUCUCCUGCUUUAAGAUCGACUUGGUGAUUUAUUGCAAUCUCACCUUAACAAUAGCUCAAUAAGGGCUAGGGAUGUGGCUCAAGCGGUAGCGCGCACGCCUGGCAUGCGUGCGGCCCAGGUUAGAGCCUCAGCACCACAUACAAAUAAAGAUGUUGUGUACGCUGAAAACUAAAAAAUAAAUAUUAAAAAAUUAAAAAAAAACAAUAGCUCAAUAAAUAUUUCUUAAAUCACUAAAUGUUCAUGGGCACUCAGAUGAAUUAUAAAAUACCCACAUACCUCCACCUCUUUCUAGAAAUCACAGCUAUUCUUAGAGGCUCAACAAAAACUAAGUACUAACCAGAUCUUCUUAUAUAUUCUGUCAAGGAAAAGUAUACUUAAUCGGUAUUUUGAUGAUAACAAUGAUGGUGAUUUAAGGCAAAGGAGAAUGAAAUUUUUUAUACAGCAAUAGAUCUUGGAUAUUACAAGUAUUUUAAAAUUUCAAAUGAAUAAGACCAUUUUAGUUUGCUUCCUAAACAGAAGCUUCAUAUAUCUAAAGAAUAAGGAUUGGUAAUAAUUUGGGCCUUCUGCUUUUCAGAAAUAAUCCAAAGUGAGUAGGCAAAAAAUAUGUCAUAAACCACCUUCUUUUUAAAAAG